GUGAGAAUCUGCCUUCCGGAUGGGGACAACCGCUGGAAACGGCGGCUAAUCCCCAAUGUGCCGAGAGGUAAAACGGGUGAAACCGCCGGAAGAGGAGCUCGCGUCCGAUUAGCUAGUUGGUGGGGUAACAGCUCACCAAGGCCACGAUCGGUAGCCGGUCUGAGAGGACGAUCGGCCACACUGGGACUGAGACACGGCCCAGACUCCUACGGGAGGCAGCAGUGGGGAAUUUUCCGCAAUGGGCGAAAGCCUGACGGAGCAACGCCGCGUGGGGGAGGAAGGCUCUUGGGUUGUAAACCCCUUUUCUCAGGGAAGAAGCUCUGACGGUACCUGAGGAAUCAGCCUCGGCUAACUCCGUGCCAGCAGCCGCGGUAAUACGGAGGAGGCAAGCGUUAUCCGGAAUUAUUGGGCGUAAAGCGUCCGCAGGUGGCUAUUUAAGUCUGCUGUCAAAGACCGGGGCUCAACUCCGGGUCGGCAGUGGAAACUGGAUAGCUAGAGUACGGUAGGGGUAGAGGGAAUUCCCGGUGUAGCGGUGAAAUGCGUAGAGAUCGGGAAGAACACCGGUGGCGAAGGCGCUCUACUGGACCGUGACUGACACUCAGGGACGAAAGCUAGGGGAGCGAAAGGGAUUAGAUACCCCUGUAGCCCUAGCUGUAAACGAUGGACACUAGGUGUUGUCUGUAUCGACCCGGACAGUGCCGAAGCUAACGCGUUAAGUGUCCCGCCUGGGGAGUACGCACGCAAGUGUGAAACUCAAAGGAAUUGAUGGGGGUCUGCACAAGCGGUGGAGUAUGUGGUUUAAUUAGAUGCAACGCGAAGAACCUUACCAGGGCUUGACAGGUCGUGAACCUCGGGGAAACUCGAGGGUGCCUAUGGGAACGCGAACACAGGUGGUGCAUGGCUGUCGUCAGUUCGUGUCGUGAGAUGUUGGGUUAAGUCCCGCAACGAGCGCAACCCUCGUCGUUAGUUGCCAGCAUUCAGUUGGGCACUUUAGGGAGACUGCCGGUGAUAAACCGGAGGAAGGUGGGG
rnacentral:rRNA from 1 species